AGAGUUUGAUCAUGGCUCAGAUUGAACGCUGGCGGCAGGCCUAACACAUGCAAGUCGAACGGUAACAGAAAGCAGCUUGCUGCUUUGCUGACGAGUGGCGGACGGGUGAGUAAUGUCUGGGAAACUGCCCGAUGGAGGGGGAUAACUACUGGAAACGGUAGCUAAUACCGCAUAACGUCGCAAGACCAAAGAGGGGGACCUUAGGGCCUCUUGCCAUCGGAUGUGCCCAGAUGGGAUUAGCUAGUAGGUGGGGUAACGGCUCACCUAGGCGACGAUCCCUAGCUGGUCUGAGAGGAUGACCAGCCACACUGGAACUGAGACACGGUCCAGACUCCUACGGGAGGCAGCAGUGGGGAAUAUUGCACAAUGGGCGCAAGCCUGAUGCAGCCAUGCCGCGUGUAUGAAGAAGGCCUUCGGGUUGUAAAGUACUUUCAGCGGGGAGGAAGGGAGUAAAGUUAACACCUUUGCUCAUUGACGUUACCCGCAGAAGAAGCACCGGCUAACUCCGUGCCAGCAGCCGCGGUAAUACGGAGGGUGCAAGCGUUAAUCGGAAUUACUGGGCGUAAAGCGCACGCAGGCGGUUUGUUAAGUCAGAUGUGAAAUCCCCGGGCUCAACCUGGGAACUGCAUCUGAUACUGGCAAGCUUGAGUCUCGUAGAGGGGGGUAGAAUUCCAGGUGUAGCGGUGAAAUGCGUAGAGAUCUGGAGGAAUACCGGUGGCGAAGGCGGCCCCCUGGACGAAGACUGACGCUCAGGUGCGAAAGCGUGGGGAGCAACAGGAUAGAUACCCUGGUAGUCCACG
rnacentral:rRNA from 1 species